UUCCUGGUGGUCCAGUGGCUAAGACUCCACACUUUCAAUGCAGGGGGCCCAGGUUCCAUCCCUGGUCAGGGAA
rnacentral:tRNA from 1 species